GGGUUUCUGUGGUGUUUGAAAAGGCAACACAGUUUAUCCUUAGAAGUAUACUUAACGGGAGUUGAACUCGAAGGGCGGAUGUCAAGCCUCCUUGCGUGGAAGACAGAAGUUUUUCGAGAAACGCCCACCUGAACAUAAAAAGGUAUAAAAUGCUGCUAAACGUUCGGCACAGGCGGAUUCCCC
rnacentral:other from 2 species